rnacentral:rRNA from 1 species
GCCGCGUGAGUGAGGAAGGUUUUCGGAUUGUAAAGCUCUGUCGAGCGGAAAGAAGUGCAUGGUGGUUAAUAUCCAUCAUGCUUGACGGUACCGCUAAAGGAAGCACCGGCUAACUCCGUGCCAGCAGCCGCGGUAAUACGGGGGGUGCAAGCGUUGUUCGGAAUCAUUGAGCGUAAAGCGCGUGUAGGCGGCUGGACAAGUCAGAUGUGAAAGCCCUGGGCUUAACCCAGGAAGUGCAUUUGAAACUGUUCAGCUAGAGUAAGGGAGAGGAAAGUGGAAUUCCUGGUGUAGAGGUGAAAUUCGUAGAUAUCAGGAGGAACACCGGUGGCGAAGGCGACUUUCUGGCCCUAUACUGACGCUGAGACGCGAAAGCGUGGGUAGCAAACAGGAUUAGAUACCCUGGUAGUCCACGCUGUAAACGAUGUUCACUAGGUGUUGGGGGUAUUGACCCUUCCAGUGCCGCAGCUAACGCAUUAAGUGAACCGCCUGGGGAGUACGGUCGCAAGAUUAAAACUCAAAGGAAUU